GAGCGAAGAGUGAGCAAGGGGCGAGAGGGGCUGUUUCCAAUGUACACCCAUCUUCAGCUGUUAGAACCAUGCUCAUUUGGUAAAGGAAGAAUUCAGAGCUUAAGGCUUUGUGUUUUUCUUUCUUUCUUCAUCAAACUGAGGGGCUGCAAAAGGAGGUGUCUAGAAGGUGUAUGUACCUGUGGGGCCACUCGCACACAAUGCUACUCAAAUCCACACUACAUUCAUACAGAAACAUGACAUAAAACUUACAGUGUAGAGCAAUAUUCUUAGCCAGUGUAGAGAACCAAAAGGUUUUUUUUUUUUUUUUUUUUGGUGUUAAUUCCAAACUCCAAUGUGAUCAUCCCUUAUCUACCUAAUUCCUCAAGUAGGAUCAGUUUUUUUGUUAUACUUGUUUUUUGGAUGGGGGUGGAGAAUGAGGGCAGCAGAUGAGUUAUGAGUGGCAACAGUGAGAAAAGGAUCUUAAGAUAUGCUGCAUGGUCACUGCAUUUCUCUAGGCUGGAAAGGGGAAUAAAAAAAACCAAGAUACCAACACAAAGACACUUUUUCCCUCCCAUGUCUCAAGGCUACGGCCAAGUGUCUGCAGAAUGCCCUUGAGAAGUGUGGCAAGGUUCAGCUCAGUGGCUCUGGGAUCAAUGUAGACAUAAACGCCUUAAGGAAUGAAGAGAGGCUGAGCAGAGAUGAAGACUGUUCAGUUUUGAUUUGAGGUCUUUGCGGUGAAUAAGAAAUUAGGUUCCAGAGCACUUGGGAAGCCUGGCUUUUUAGUCCUAGAGAAAGAGAGACAGAAAAACAGACAGAGGUCUAGCUUAGGAGGCUGGGCACCUAUAGUGACCUCACCUAGGGCCCUUAGCUCACUUCAGUCCUAAGGGAAAAAGGCAGAGCAGGAAAAGACUGGAGGUGGCUGGUGGGAAAUGCAAAGUGGGGGAAGGGAGAUGGACUUGGAAUAGGACUGACAGGCAGGCAGCGAAGAAAAAAGCCUGGGAUUGGGAUUAGGUUCUAACAUAAAUC